rnacentral:rRNA from 1 species
UGGGGAAUUUUGGACAAUGGGCGAAAGCCUGAUCCAGCAAUGCCGCGUGUGUGAAGAAGGCCUUCGGGUUGUAAAGCACUUUUGUCCGGAAAGAAAUCCUUGGCUCUAAUACAGUCGGGGGAUGACGGUACCGGAAGAAUAAGCACCGGCUAACUACGUGCCAGCAGCCGCGGUAAUACGUAGGGUGCAAGCGUUAAUCGGAAUUACUGGGCGUAAAGCGUGCGCAGGCGGUUUGCUAAGACCGAUGUGAAAUCCCCGGGCUCAACCUGGGAACUGCAUUGGUGACUGGCAGGCUAGAGUAUGGCAGAGGGGGGUAGAAUUGCCACGUGUAGCAGGUGAAAUGCGUAGAGAUGUGGAGGAAUACCGAUGGCGAAGGCAGCCCCCUGGGCCAAUACUGACGCUCACGCACGAAAAGCNUGGGGAGCAAACAGG